ACUCGAGUGGCGAACGGGUGAGUAACACGUGGGUGACCUGCCCUGCACUUCGGGAUAAGCCUGGGAAACUGGGUCUAAUACCGGAUAGGAGCCAUUUUUAGUGUGAUGGUUGGAAAGUUUUUCGGUGUAGGAUGAGCUCGCGGCCUAUCAGCUUGUUGGUGGGGUAAUGGCCUACCAAGGCGGCGACGGGUAGCCGGCCUGAGAGGGUGGACGGCCACAUUGGGACUGAGAUACGGCCCAG
rnacentral:rRNA from 1 species